rnacentral:rRNA from 1 species
UCCCCACUAAUGCGUGGAACAUCCAACUCAUGGAGCGGACAAGGGGAAUCCGACUGUUUAAUUAAAAUAAAGCAUUGUGAAGGUCGGAGACAAUGUUCACGCAAUGUGAUUUCACCCUGCUCUGAAUGUCAACGUGAAGAAAUUCAACCAAGCGCGGGUAAUAAACGGCAGGA